rnacentral:lncRNA from 12 species
CUGCGCACCCCGUCGGCGCUGCCCCGACCCGGGCCCGGAGGGGGUUCGAGGGUCUCCGCCGCGGGGCUGGGCUGCGGCCCGCGACCAAGAAUUAAAACAUAGGCCAGGGUGACCGGGGGCGACGGAGAAUGAGACACGUUCCAGAAGUUCACGGGAUGGAAGAAGGGCCCGACGAGGCGGCCGGGCAACAGCGGUCGCCGCGAGGCUCUUACGGGACUGACCGUUUAUUUCAGGUGCCUGGCCCUGGCCGGUGGUCGAGCGUCUACGCAGCCGCGUCUUGCCGGGAGCCGCGGGGAAGCGGAGCGGGACCUGCGGCCGCGUCCUGGGAGCCCAGGCGGCCGCUCACCGCAGGGCCCAGAAGAGACACUGCAAUGCAUAAGGCUGCCGACAGAAGGACACCAGCAAGGCACAGGAAAUCUGAAUAAUCUUCAGUGGCUCAGAAUUGAAUGGAAGCUAAGCUGCAAACUCAUCAUUCAAGGUCUCCUAUAGUCAGAGUCCAGUCUACCUUGGCUGAAUGAGCUUCACAGAUUUUUCACCUCAGUUGAACUCCUUCCGUCACUGUCUUCCAACCACAUGGCGCGAUGGCAUUUGCACAAGCUGUUCUAAAACAGAAAGGUCACAGGUGUGCCCAGCUGGCUCCGACGGGGAAGGCUGCGACUCUCAAUCUUGGGGUCAUGAGUUCAAGCCCCAUGUUGGGUGUAGAAACUACUUUUUAAAUAAAUACAUAAAAUAUUCUUUUAAAAAUGGAAAC